GGAGUUGUAUAUUUCCCUAAAGGGUCAAAAAUAGAACAUUUAUUAAACGACGAGUUAUUCAAAAACCGGCACAGGCCCCAGUUGUCUUUCAAAGGCUCUGAUUUACUGCAUAUUUCUCCCUUGAGAAAGGCCUUUUUUAAAUGUUCAUUUCCAUUUUAAGAGACUGUGGGCUUUGAUCUGUUGGGAGCAUUCUUUUUCUUUCCCUGACUGGGGCCUGUCGGCUACUCAGGCCUGUGUUUUUCCAUGGCCUUCCCCAGCAUUCACACAGCAUCUCCUGCAUCUGCGUUCACCCUGGCUAAUUUGGAGGUCAGAACUGGUGAGUCCCUGUAGCAGGUGACACCAAGAACCAAUGAGCCAUAUUUGCUCUUCACACCUCAACAAAGAUGCUGCUUCCAGGAGUGAGUGUUUAUGUAAGUUUCAAAUCCAGCAACCUGAAGAUUCGCCUCCAAUGGCACAGGGCUGGACCGCACUCAGAGGUGGCUGCCACCCAAUCGUCACUCAGCGUUUUAUCGCUGGGCUAUUCUGUUUGAGUGCUAAGCAGUUGUUCACAGAAAUAAGAUAAUGGAAAGAGCCACGACAGAAUGAGCAAUGGAGACAAUCGGGCCUGCCAUGGCGCUUACUGCUGUUCGUCACAGAUCUGCAAGAACUCUGAACUCAUAGAUUAUGUCAAAACUGAGAAGCACUGGACAGUCAUUGUGCUUAUCUGCAGUUUCUCAUUUCUGAGAAGAAUCUCUCUCCAUAUGGAUAUUAUCACUUUUGUUAUAAUCUCAAGGAUGGUUA
rnacentral:lncRNA from 1 species